CGGAGGGUGCAAGCGUUAUCCGGAUUUACUGGGUUUAAAGGGUGCGUAGGUGGGUUGGUAAGUCAGUGGUGAAAUCUCCGAGCUUAACUCGGAAACUGCCAUUGAUACUAUCAAUCUUGAAUAUCCUGGAGGUGAGCGGAAUAUGUCAUGUAGCGGUGAAAUGCUUAGAUAUGACAUAGAACACCAAUUGCGAAGGCAGCUCACUACGGGGGUCAUUGACACUGAGGCACGAAAGCGUGGGAUCAAACAGGAUU
rnacentral:rRNA from 1 species